rnacentral:rRNA from 1 species
AUUGAACGCUGGCGGCAUGCUUUACACAUGCAAGUCGGACGGCAGCACAGAGAAGCUUGCUGCUUUCGUGGCGAGUGGCGAACGUGUGGGUAAUAUAUCUGCACGUACGGAGUAAUGGGGGAUAACUAAUCGAAAGUUUUGCUACUACCGCAUAUUCGCUGAGGGGGAAAGCAGUGGAGCUUCGGGCCUUGCGUUAUUCCAUCGGCCGAUAUCUGAUUAGCUAGUUGGUGGGGUAAAGGCCUACCAAGGCGACGAUCCGUACCGGGUCUGAGAGGAUGAUCCGCCACACUGGAACUGAGACACGGUCCAGACUCCUACGGGAGGCAGCAGUGGGGAAUUUUGGACAAUGGGCGCAAGCCUGAUCCAGCCAUGCCGCGUGUCUGAAGAAGGCCUUCGGAUUGUAAAGGACUUUUGGCAGGGAGGAAGAGGAGGUAGCUAAUAUCAAGAGCUGAUGACGUUACCUGAAGAAUAAGCACCGGCUAACUUCGUG